CCUACGGGGGGCUGCAGUGAGGAAUUUUCCGCAAUGGGCGAAAGCCUGACGGAGCAAUGCCGCGUGAAGGAUGAAGGCCUAUGGGUUGUAAACUUCUUUUCUCAGAGAAGAAUAUUGACGGUAUCUGAGGAAUAAGCAUCGGCUAACUCUGUGCCAGCAGCCGCGGUAAGACAGAGGAUGCAAGCGUUAUCCGGAAUGAUUGGGCGUAAAGCGUCUGUAGGUGGCUUCAAAAGUCUCCUGUCAAAGAUCAGGGCUUAACCCUGGGCCGGCAGGAG
rnacentral:rRNA from 1 species